UGUUUAUGUAACGACAACAGGAUAGAGGCAUCGGAGGCGCACUCUGUACACAAUAGUUCAGUGAUACUACGCUUGUGUCAUGAUAUCAACAACCUCGUGAUAAAGAAAAAGUUAUUUCUACGCGACCGAAGCUGGACGCAAAAAGGGGUAGUCAUUCCAUUGACGUUGGGAAGACAUGGUGGGGGCAGACAAGAAGAGCUGCAAGUUGGUAACCACUGGGAGCUGGCGUGGGGCCAGGGAAGCUGCCACUACAGUGUUGGGAGGCCAAGACUCACUUUGGGUUCCUGAACAUGGAUAGUAAAAAACUGGGACAACGCUCAGAUGAGAUAUAAAUCAUUGAUAUAUGUAUUUAUGUUAUUAACUAUGUUACCCAAUACAUAUACCUAGGACUAUGGUAGGACAAAGGUAAUUGUCUGAAUGCAAAUUGACGAGUUAUCGUUGUCCAAGCAGCCAUCUGGCUUUGAUAAAUUGACAUAGCAUUAUGUUCUGAUCUACGAUUAUAUGCCAAAUUAUCAUAGUAGGUUUAAUAUAUUUUGCACUAGCCCGCCCGUCCCGCUAACCUUCCUCGGAAAUAACACAAGCGGUAAAAACCGCAUGAAAAUCCGUCCAGUAGUUUCUGAGUUCGUCCCGAACAGACGUACAACGAUGCGGCAGAGGACUUUGUCUUAUAACAUGUAAGGAUGUGACGGCCUUUUUCUACGUCCAUGUAAAACGUUAUAAUUUUUAUGAUAUUAGUUAUGCCCUGUGAUGCUGUUAUGAUG